GACGAACGCUGGCGGCGUGCUUAACACAUGCAAGUCGAACGGUGAAGCGCUUUCCUUUUUGGUUGGUGUGGAUGAGUGGCGAACGGGUGAGUAACACGUGAGUAACCUGCCCCCUUCUUCUGGAUAACCGCAUGAAAGUGUGGCUAAUACGGGAUAUUCUGCGCCUGCUGCAUGGUGGGUGUGGGAAAGAUUGUGCCUUUGGGUGUUUUCGGUGGGGGAUGGGCUCGCGGCCUAUCAGCUUGUUGGUGGGGUGAUGGCCUACCAAGGCGGUGACGGGUAGCCGGCCUGAGAGGGGGGACGGUCACACUGGGACUGAGACACGGCCCAGACUCCUACGGGAGGCAGCAGUGGGGAAUAUUGCACAAUGGGCGCAAGCCUGAUGCAGCGACGCCGCGUGAGGGAUGGAGGCCUUCGGGUUGUGAACCUCUUUCGCCAGUGAAGCAGGCCUGCUCCUUGUGGGUGGGUUGACGGUAGCUGGAUAAGAAGCGCCGGCUAACUACGUG
rnacentral:rRNA from 1 species